rnacentral:misc_RNA from 1 species
UUUUUGCGUUAGGGAUAGUAGCGAAAAGCCCGCAGCGACUGCAGGGAGCGAGGACUUGAAGCACAUAGCCCGACCCGUA